rnacentral:rRNA from 1 species
GACGAACGCUGGCGGCGUGCUUAACACAUGCAAGUCGAGCGGUAAGGCCCUUUCGGGGUACACGAGCGGCUAACGGGUGAGUAACACGUGGGCGACCUGCCCUCAGCUCUGGGAUAAGCCCGGGAAACCUGGGUCUAAUACCGGAUAUGACCUCUCAUCGCAUGGUGGGUGGUGGAAAGUUUUUUCGGCUGAGGAUGGGCCCGCGGCCUAUCAGCUUGUUGGUGGGGUGAUGGCCUACCAAGGCGACGACGGGUAGCCGGCCUGAGAGGGCGACCGGCCACACUGGGACUGAGACACGGCCCAGACUCCUACGGGAGGCAGCAGUGGGGAAUAUUGCGCAAUGGGCGGAAGCCUGACGCAGCGACGCCGCGUGGGGGAUGACGGCCUUCGGGUUGUAAACCUCUUUCGACCUUGACGAAGGCCUUCGGGUUGACGGUAGGGGUAGAAGAAGCACCGGCCAACUACGUGC